AAAACGUGUCUCUAGGCAGAAAUUAUUAUCUUAUACUAAGAUAUUAAUACAUAUUGAAAAGACUGAUAAUCAUUGUGAGAAAAGCGGUAUUAAUAUGCUAUCUCUUUGGCUAAGGGUGAUGUAGAAAGUGACAGGUAAUUGUAAUUAACUCAGUCAGUUAACAGUUUGACAUUUGAUUAUUGAGGGCAAACGAAAUAAAUAUUGCGAUGAGGAUAUGACUCCACUACUGUGCAAAUGGAUAGUGGAAGAUUUGGAUCAAGGGAGAGACUAUCUCAAUAUUUUUAAAACCUUGUCUGCUUGUUGUUGUUCAGAGGACAUGCUCCUGCUCUUUCGGCUUCUGCUGAGCUCAAGAUUGUCAGGCCGCCUCCGCGCCAGCAAAGAAGCGAAGGAGGGUGCACCGGACCUGAAUGCAGCUUUCUUCCUUGAUGAGCAGGUGAGGAUGGCAUCAUUAUCUUUGGACUCAGGAGACCAGUGUGAGCAGCAUCCCCUUCCUGGUAUUGGUUUCGGUGGUCCAUCUAAGGGUAUUUACUGCAUUAAUAAAAUGUUUGAAAUAGAAGUAAGGCAGUCC
rnacentral:lncRNA from 1 species